CCUACGGGAGGCAGCAGUGGGGAAUAUUGCACAAUGGGGGAAACCCUGAUGCAGCGACGCCGCGUGAGUGAAGAAGUAAUUCGUUAUGUAAAGCUCUAUCAGCAGGGAAGAAAAUGAGGGAACUGGAGAAAGAAGCCCGGGCAAACUACGGGCCAGCAGCCGCGGUAAUACGUAGGGGGCAAGCGUAAUCCGGAUUUACGGGGGGAAAGGGGAGCGUAGAGGGCCGUGCAAGUCUGGAGUGAAAGGCGGGGGCUCAACCCCCGGACUGCUCGGGAAACUGUACGGCUGGAGUGCAGGAGAGGUAAGUGGAAUUCCUAGUGUAGCGGUGAAAUGCGUAGAUAUUAGGCGGAACACCAGUGGCGAAGGCGGCUUACUGGACUGUAACUGACGUUGAGGCUCGAAAGCGUGGGGAGCAAACAGGAUUAGAUACCCCUGUAGUC
rnacentral:rRNA from 1 species